CUUCUAGGUAGAGAACAGACCCAAAUAUUAUGGAAGAGAAUUCCAUGGGAUGAUCUCAAGGGAGGAAGCUGACCAAUUAUUAAGUGUUGCAGAGGGAAGCUAUCUCAUUCGUGAAAGCCAACGGCAACCCGGAACCUACACUUUGGCAUUAAGAUUUGGAAGUCAAACCAGAAACUUCAGACUCUACUACGAUGGAAAGCACUUUGUUGGGGAGAAACGUUUUGAGUCCAUCCAUGACCUGGUGACAGAUGGAUUGAUUACUCUUUAUAUUGAAACGAAGGCAGCUGAAUACAUUGCCAAGAUGACAAUAAAUCCAAUUUAUGAACACAUAGGAUAUACAACUUUAAACAGAGAGCCAGCACACAAAAAACAUAUGCCAACCCUGAGAGAUGAACAUGAUGGCAAAGAGUCUACAGGAGAGGAUGAGGUAGCAGAAAAGAGGGUAA